UACUUAAAUAGUUUAUUUAAAAUAGUAGCUUGUGGUGCUACAGAUGUAUUGAUAGUAUUUUAAGUAA
rnacentral:tRNA from 1 species